rnacentral:rRNA from 1 species
AUUGAACGCUGGCGGCAUGCCUUACACAUGCAAGUCGAACGGUAACGGGCCUUCGGGUGCCGACGAGUGGCGAACGGGUGAGUAAUACAUCGGAACGUGCCCGAUCGUGGGGGAUAACGAGGCGAAAGCUUUGCUAAUACCGCAUACGAUCUACGGAUGAAAGCAGGGGACCGCAAGGCCUUGCGCGGACGGAGCGGCCGAUGGCAGAUUAGGUAGUUGGUGGGAUAAAAGCUUACCAAGCCGACGAUCUGUAGCUGGUCUGAGAGGAUGAUCAGCCACACUGGGACUGAGACACGGCCCAGACUCCUACGCGAGGCAGCAGUGGGGAAUUUUGGACAAUGGGCGCAAGCCUGAUCCAGCCAUGCCGCGUGCAGGAUGAAGGCCUUCGGGUUGUAAACUGCUUUUGUACGGAACGAAAAGCCUUCUUUUAAUACAGGAGGGUCAUGACGGUACCGUAAGAAUAAGCACCGGCCAACUACGUG